AGUGGGGAAUAUUGGACAAUGGGCGAAAGCCUGAUCCAGCAAUGCCGCGUGAGUGAUGAAGGCCUUAGGGUUGUAAAGCUCUUUUACCAGGGAUGAUAAUGACAGUACCUGGAGAAUAAGCUCCGGCUAACUCCGUGCCAGCAGCCGCGGUAAUACGGAGGGAGCUAGCGUUGUUCGGAAUUACUGGGCGUAAAGAGUACGUAGGCGGUGAUUCAAGUCAGAGGUGAAAGCCUGGAGCUCAACUCCAGAACUGCCUUUGAAACUAGAUCGCUAGAAUUGUGGAGAGGUUAGUGGAAUUCCGAGUGUAGAGGUGAAAUUCGUAGAUAUUCGGAAGAACACCAGUGGCGAAGGCGACUAACUGGACACAUAUUGACGCUGAGGUACGAAAGCGUGGGGAGCAAACAGAUGAUUAGAUACCC
rnacentral:rRNA from 1 species